rnacentral:rRNA from 1 species
UACGUAGGGACCGAGCGUUGUCCGGAAUCAUUGGGCGUAAAGAGCUUGUAGGCGGUUUGUCGCGUCUGCUGUGAAAAUCCGGGGCUCAACCCCGGACUUGCAGUGGGUACGGGCAGACUAGAGUGUGGUAGGGGAGACUGGAAUUCCUGGUGUAGCGGUGAAAUGCGCAGAUAUCAGGAGGAACACCGAUGGCGAAGGCAGGUCUCUGGGCCACUACUGACGCUGAGAAGCGAAAAGCAUGGGGGAGCGAACAGG